GACGAACGCUGGCGGCGUGCUUAACACAUGCAAGUCGAACGGAAAGGCCCUGCUUGCAGGGUGCUCGAGUGGCGAACGGGUGAGUAACACGUGGGUGAUCUGCCCCUUACUUUGGGAUAAGCCUGGGAAACUGGGUCUAAUACUGGAUAGGACCAUGCUGUAGGUGGUGUGGUGGAUAGAUUAGUUUCGGUAAGGGAUGAGCUCGCGGCCUAUCAGCUUGUUGGUGGGGUAAUGGCCUACCAAGGCGUCGACGGGUAGCCGGCCUGAGAGGGUGGACGGCCACAUUGGGACUGAGAUAAGGCGCAGAAGACUACGGGAGGCAGCAGAGGGGAAUAAUGCAGAAUGGGCGGAAGCCGGAUGAAGCGACGACGCGUGGGGGAUGACGGCGUUCGGGUUGUAAACGCCUUUCAGCCAUGACGAAGCCCUUGUGGUGACGGUAGUGGUAGAAGAAGCACCGGCUAACUACGUG
rnacentral:rRNA from 1 species